rnacentral:rRNA from 1 species
UACGAAGGGGGCUAGCGUUGCUCGGAAUCACUGGGCGUAAAGGGUGCGUAGGCGGGUCUUUAAGUCAGGGGUGAAAUCCUGGAGCUCAACUCCAGAACUGCCUUUGAUACUGAGGAUCUUGAGUUCGGGAGAGGUGAGUGGAACUGCGAGUGUAGAGGUGAAAUUCGUAGAUAUUCGCAAGAACACCAGUGGCGAAGGCGGCUCACUGGCCCGAUACUGACGCUGAGGCACGAAAGCGUGGGAGC